rnacentral:rRNA from 1 species
UACGUAGGGUGCGAGCGUUAAUCGGAAUUACUGGGCGUAAAGCGUGCGCAGGCGGUUCGUUAAGUCAGAUGUGAAAGCCCUGGGCUCAACCUGGGAACUGCAUUGGAAACUGGCUGACUAGAGUGCGGUAGAGGGGUGUGGAAUUCCCGGUGUAGCAGUGAAAUGCGUAGAUAUCGGGAGGAACACCAGUGGCGAAGGCGACACCCUGGACCGGCACUGACACUGAGGCACGAAAGCGUGGGGAGCAAACAGG